rnacentral:rRNA from 1 species
GUGCCAGCCGCCGCGGUAAGACGAACCGUCCUAACGUUGUUCGGAAUCACUGGGCUUAAAGGGCGCGUAGGCGGGUCAGCAAGUCCGGGGUGAAAUCUUUCGGCUCAACCGGAAAAUAGCCUUGGAUACUGCUGGUCUCGAGGGGGGUAGGGGCAGCUGGAACUUCCGGUGGAGCGGUGAAACGCGUUGAUAUCGGAAGGAACGCCGGUGGCGAAAGCGAGCUGCUGGACCCUCUCUGACGCUGAGGCGCGAAAGCUAGGGGAGCAAACGGGAUUAGAUACCCUGGUAGUCC